UUAAGUUAUUAAGGGCGCACGGUGGAUGCCUUGGCACUAGAAGCCGAUGAAGGACGUUACUAACGACGAUAUGCUUUGGGGAGCUGUAAGUAAGCUUUGAUCCAGAGAUUUCCGAAUGGGGAAACCCAACAUGAGUUAUGUCAUGUUAUCGAUAUGUGAAUACAUAGCAUAUCAGAAGGCACACCCGGAGAACUGAAACAUCUUAGUACCCGGAGGAAGAGAAAGAAAAUUCGAUUCCCUUAGUAGCGGCGAGCGAAACGGGAAGAGCCCAAACCAACAAGCUUGCUUGUUGGGGUUGUAGGACACUCUAUACGGAGUUACAAAGGACGACAUUAGACGAAUCAUCUGGAAAGAUGAAUCAAAGAAGGUAAUAAUCCUGUAGUCGAAAAUGUUGUCUCUCUUGAGUGGAUCCUGAGUACGACGGAGCACGUGAAAUUCCGUCGGAAUCUGGGAGGACCAUCUCCUAAGGCUAAAUACUCUCUAGUGACCGAUAGUGAACCAGUACCGUGAGGGAAAGGUGAAAAGCACCCCGGAAGGGGAGUGAAAUAGAACCUGAAACCGUGUGCUUACAAGUAGUCAGAGCCCGUUAAUGGGUGAUGGCGUGCCUUUUGUAGAAUGAACCGGCGAGUUACGAUUUGAUGCAAGGUUAAGCAGUAAAUGUGGAGCCGUAGCGAAAGCGAGUCUGAAUAGGGCGUUUAGUAUUUGGUCGUAGACCCGAAACCAGGUGAUCUACCCUUGGUCAGGUUGAAGUUCAGGUAACACUGAAUGGAGGACCGAACCGACUUACGUUGAAAAGUGAGCGGAUGAACUGAGGGUAGCGGAGAAAUUCCAAUCGAACCUGGAGAUAGCUGGUUCUCUCCGAAAUAGCUUUAGGGCUAGCCUCAAGUGAUGAUUAUUGGAGGUAGAGCACUGUUUGGACGAGGGGCCCCUCUCGGGUUACCGAAUUCAGACAAACUCCGAAUGCCAAUUAAUUUAACUUGGGAGUCAGAACAUGGGUGAUAAGGUCCGUGUUCGAAAGGGAAACAGCCCAGACCACCAGCUAAGGUCCCAAAAUAUAUGUUAAGUGGAAAAGGAUGUGGCGUUGCCCAGACAACUAGGAUGUUGGCUUAGAAGCAGCCAUCAUUUAAAGAGUGCGUAAUAGCUCACUAGUCGAGUGACACUGCGCCGAAAAUGUACCGGGGCUAAACAUAUUACCGAAGCUGUGGAUUGUCCUUUGGACAAUGGUAGGAGAGCGUUCUAAGGGCGUUGAAGCAUGAUCGUAAGGACAUGUGGAGCGCUUAGAAGUGAGAAUGCCGGUGUGAGUAGCGAAAGACGGGUGAGAAUCCCGUCCACCGAUUGACUAAGGUUUCCAGAGGAAGGCUCGUCCGCUCUGGGUUAGUCGGGUCCUAAGCUGAGGCCGACAGGCGUAGGCGAUGGAUAACAGGUUGAUAUUCCUGUACCACCUAUAAUCGUUUUAAUCGAUGGGGGGACGCAGUAGGAUAGGCGAAGCGUGCGAUUGGAUUGCACGUCUAAGCAGUAAGGCUGAGNGCGAGUUACGAUUUGAUGCAAGGUUAAGCAGUAAAUGUGGAGCCGUAGCGAAAGCGAGUCUGAAUAGGGCGUUUAGUAUUUGGUCGUAGACCCGAAACCAGGUGAUCUACCCUUGGUCAGGUUGAAGUUCAGGUAACACUGAAUGGAGGACCGAACCGACUUACGUUGAAAAGUGAGCGGAUGAACUGAGGGUAGCGGAGAAAUUCCAAUCGAACCUGGAGAUAGCUGGUUCUCUCCGAAAUAGCUUUAGGGCUAGCCUCAAGUGAUGAUUAUUGGAGGUAGAGCACUGUUUGGACGAGGGGCCCCUCUCGGGUUACCGAAUUCAGACAAACUCCGAAUGCCAAUUAAUUUAACUUGGGAGUCAGAACAUGGGUGAUAAGGUCCGUGUUCGAAAGGGAAACAGCCCAGACCACCAGCUAAGGUCCCAAAAUAUAUGUUAAGUGGAAAAGGAUGUGGCGUUGCCCAGACAACUAGGAUGUUGGCUUAGAAGCAGCCAUCAUUUAAAGAGUGCGUAAUAGCUCACUAGUCGAGUGACACUGCGCCGAAAAUGUACCGGGGCUAAACAUAUUACCGAAGCUGUGGAUUGUACUUUGGACAAUGGUAGGAGAGCGUUCUAAGGGCGUUGAAGCAUGAUCGUAAGGACAUGUGGAGCGCUUAGAAGUGAGAAUGCCGGUGUGAGUAGCGAAAGACGGGUGAGAAUCCCGUCUACCGAUUGACUAAGGUUUCCAGAGGAAGGCUCGUCCGCUCUGGGUUAGUCGGGUCCUAAGCUGAGGCCGACAGGCGUAGGCGAUGGAUAACAGGUUGAUAUUCCUGUACCACCUAUAAUCGUUUUAAUCGAUGGGGGGACGCAGUAGGAUAGGCGAAGCGUGCGAUUGGAUUGCACGUCUAAGCAGUAAGGCUGAGUAUUAGGCAAAUCCGGUACUCAUUAAGGCUGAGCUGUGAUGGGGAGAAGACAUUGUGUCUUCGAGUCGUUGAUUUCACACUGCCGAGAAAAGCCUCUAGAUAGAAAAUAGGUGCCCGUACCGCAAACCGACACAGGUAGUCAAGAUGAGAAUUCUAAGGUGAGCGAGCGAACUCUCGUUAAGGAACUCGGCAAAAUGACCCCGUAACUUCGGGAGAAGGGGUGCUCUUUAGGGUUAACGCCCAGAAGAGCCGCAGUGAAUAGGCCCAAGCGACUGUUUAUCAAAAACACAGGUCUCUGCUAAACCGUAAGGUGAUGUAUAGGGGCUGACGCCUGCCCGGUGCUGGAAGGUUAAGAGGAGUGGUUAGCUUCUGCGAAGCUACGAAUCGAAGCCCCAGUAAACGGCGGCCGUAACUAUAACGGUCCUAAGGUAGCGAAAUUCCUUGUCGGGUAAGUUCCGACCCGCACGAAAGGCGUAACGAUUUGGGCACUGUCUCAACGAGAGACUCGGUGAAAUCAUAGUACCUGUGAAGAUGCAGGUUACCCGCGACAGGACGGAAAGACCCCGUGGAGCUUUACUGUAGCCUGAUAUUGAAAUUCGGCACAGCUUGUACAGGAUAGGUAGGAGCCUUUGAAACGUGAGCGCUAGCUUACGUGGAGGCGCUGGUGGGAUACUACCCUAGCUGUGUUGGCUUUCUAACCCGCACCACUUAUCGUGGUGGGAGACAGUGUCAGGCGGGCAGUUUGACUGGGGCGGUCGCCUCCUAAAAGGUAACGGAGGCGCUCAAAGGUUCCCUCAGAAUGGUUGGAAAUCAUUCAUAGAGUGUAAAGGCAUAAGGGAGCUUGACUGCGAGACCUACAAGUCGAGCAGGGUCGAAAGACGGACUUAGUGAUCCGGUGGUUCCGCAUGGAAGGGCCAUCGCUCAACGGAUAAAAGCUACCCCGGGGAUAACAGGCUUAUCUCCCCCAAGAGUUCACAUCGACGGGGAGGUUUGGCACCUCGAUGUCGGCUCAUCGCAUCCUGGGGCUGUAGUCGGUCCCAAGGGUUGGGCUGUUCGCCCAUUAAAGCGGUACGCGAGCUGGGUUCAGAACGUCGUGAGACAGUUCGGUCCCUAUCCGUCGUGGGCGUAGGAAAUUUGAGAGGAGCUGUCCUUAGUACGAGAGGACCGGGAUGGACAUACCUCUGGUGUACCAGUUGUCGUGCCAACGGCAUAGCUGGGUAGCUAUGUGUGGACGGGAUAAGUGCUGAAAGCAUCUAAGCAUGAAGCCCCCCUCAAGAUGAGAUUUCCCAACUUCGGUUAUAAGAUCCCUCAAAGAUGAUGAGGUUAAUAGGUUCGAGGUGGAAGCAUGGUGACAUGUGGAGCUGACGAAUACUAAUCGAUCGAAGACUUAAUCAA
rnacentral:rRNA from 1 species